GGUAAUGAAGAUAGAUUCACUGUCGUGUUUUAUGGCUUUUUAUUCCUAUGUGAUUGGGAUACAGUGCACAUAGGGAGGGAAGCCAUGGAAUGCUCAGUGACAGACCUCAGGGGAGCCUC
rnacentral:pre_miRNA from 17 species